GAUGAACGCUAGCGACAGGCUUAACACAUGCAAGUCGAGGGGCAGCACGGGAGUAGCAAUACAACUGGUGGCGACCGGCGCACGGGUGAGUAACGCGUAUGCAACCUACCUAUCAGAGGGGAAUAACCCGGCGAAAGUCGGACUAAUACCGCAUAAAACAGGGGCACCGCAUGAUGAUAUUUGUUAAAGAAAUUCGCUGAUAGAUGGGCAUGCGUUCCAUUAGGUAGUUGGUGAGGUAACGGCUCACCAAGCCGACGAUGGAUAGGGGAACUGAGAGGUUGGUCCCCCACACUGGUACUGAGACACGGACCAGACUCCUACGGGAGGCAGCAGUGAGGAAUAUUGGUCAAUGGGCGAGAGCCUGAACCAGCCAAGUCGCGUGAAGGAAGAAGGAUCUAUGGUUCGUAAACUUCUUUUGCAGGGGAAUAAAGUGCAGGACGUGUCCUGUUUUGUAUGUACCCUGAGAGUAAGGAUCGGCUAACUCCGUGCCAGCAGCCGCAGUAACAC
rnacentral:rRNA from 1 species